AUAUAUAUAUAUAUAUAUAUAUACGGUGAGAAAAAGGAGGCAUCGCAAGGUCUUGAGGGAAAACAGCGGACACCUAUUUGUGCAGCAGAAGAGUAAGCCAGUUUGGGACUCUGUGAAACGAGCAGAUUGCCUGAGGCACCGGAGAAUUGCGGCAGAAGCUUCGAGCACCAACUGUUUAUCGCAAGCCGUCGCAACGAAAUGUACUUUAGAGUUCACUUGCUCGCCGCUGUCAUGUUGAUUGCUACGCACACGAUCACGAAAUGUGCUGCCGCAACAGAAGAUAGCAGCAGUGGCGACGACAUUGAUUGGGGACCAACAAGCGGCAACGACUGCGAAAGUUCACAGCACUGCGAUCAGAGCAGCCAGUGUUGCGUGAGAGUCAACGGGAAGAAUACAUGUGGACCAUUGGCUGAGAUUGGUCAACGUUGCUCCAAUGGUCAUCAUGCCGUAUACGAACACCAUUGCCCAUGCAAGAAGCCAUUUACGUGCAGUUUCAAAGGCGAUUCACUCAGCAUCUGCGAAGCUCCGAAAGGAAAACGCAAAUAAGUUUCGCUGUGUCUCAAGUGUGUCUGACUUCGUGCUGCAUUGAUAAUAAAACUUUUCUUAAGAAGCGCCAUUGACUUCU